CCGGCGUAAAUCAUCUUUUGGACUUUCCUUUGGUGGGCGGGUGUUGGUAAUCGGCGAUCUGCGUAUCAGCUGUAACGGUACCUAAUUUAAGUCGUUUGUUGCAAUCAAGUGGUUUUCGGUGUCUUUCUGCAUUAUUGAGAAAUUAACGUUAUAUGCAAAUUAAAAUAGUUCUGAUAAAAUAUUUUUCAUGUUCGUGUAUUUGUUUUUGCGUAAUAGUCGACAAUUCGUUUUAGGUAACCGAGUGGUAAGCGAAUAACCGGGUAGGCGGUCCGCCGUAAUUUUCCCCUCGCGGAUCAUGGAAAUAUACGUGUAUCGGCGUCACUGAAAACAAGACAUUUUUCUUUUCUUUUCCUUUUUUUUUUUUUUUACGAAUAUCCGUGUAUAUUAUUACCAAUAUACGCAAUAAUAUAUUCGCAUCAUUUAUUUAUAUUCUAUUAACCCCCGGCAAUAACUCAACAAUCGGAUCGAAGAACGUUUUCGCGUUGUACAGAAGUAGGAAAUCGAACCCGAGAUACAAUGAUAGCUGUUGCGCGAAAAUUUAUUGUUUUUAUGAUUUAAGGGACGACCCGACCCGAUCGGUUGUUCGACUACAUCGCGCUCACGCCGCCUUGAAC